AAAGGGUAUCUAAGGCUGGUUCUUGGGCCUUCCCCACCCUUCCUUACCAAGCCAGGAUGUUUCAGACGGUCCCCGACACAUCGUCUUACGUCAAGGGAAAUUUGUUGAGACUGGGUAGUAUCACCCCC